UUUGAGAAUUGUGGUUACCCUCCAUUGAUGAAGCUUUUGUUUUCAGCAUAAAUUGGUUUUGCUUCACACUGUCUUGAUCAAGAGUGUGUGAAGCUUUUGAGAAUUGUGGUUGCCCUCCUUUGAUGAAGCUCUUGUUAGCAUCAUAAAUUGGUUUUGCUUCACACUGUCUUGAUCAAGAGUGUGUGACGCUUUUGAGAAUUGUGGUUGCCCUCCAUUGAUGAAGCUUUUGUUGGCACCAUAAAUUGGUUUUGCUUCACACUGUCUUGAUCAAGAGUGUGUGAAGCUUUUGAGAAUUGUGGUUGCCCUCCAUUGAUGAAGCUCUUGUUGGCACCAUAAAUUGGUUUUGCUUCACACUGUCUUGAUCAAGAGUGUGUGAAGCUUUUGAGAAUUAUGGUUGCCCUCCAUUGAUAAAGCUCUUGUUGGCACCAUAAAUUGGUUUUGCUUCACACUAUCUUGAUCAAGAGUGUGUGAAGCUUUUGAGAAUUGUGGUUGAACUCCUUUGAUGAAGCUCUUGUUAGCACCAUAAAUUGUUUUUGCUUCACACUGUCUUGAUCAAGAGUGUGUGAAGCUUUUGAGAAUUGUGGUUGCCUUCCUUUGAUGAAGCUCUUGUUGGCACCAUAAAUUGGUUUUGCUUC
rnacentral:lncRNA from 1 species